rnacentral:lncRNA from 1 species
AUGUAUGAUGAAAAAUUAGAAUUUGAUUUUUUUUUAAUUCAACAACAAAUUGACUCUUUUGUUAAAGACAAAACAAAUAAAAUACUUAACAAAAAUGGAAGUUUUUUAAAUGAACUGAAUGAAUUAUUUUUUUUUCAAAGUGGAUCGAUAAAUAUAAAUGACAUAACUGGUAACAAUGGUGAUAACAGUAGUGAUAACAGUAGUGACGACAGUAGUGAAGACAGUAGUGAAGACAGUAGUGAAGACAGUAAUGAAGACAGUGAUGACAAUAAAAAGAAUAUACACAGACAAAACAAUAAUAAGUUAAUAUAUUACGAUUUUACAGAAAACAAAAUAUACAAAUCAUUAAAUAUGAACAAUAUACUUAAUUUUAUUAAUAAAUGCGAUAUAUAUAGUGAAGAAAUAAAAAACUAUGACACGAAUAAUAGUAACAACAAUAGUAGUAAUAAUAAAAAAGAAGAGAGUAAAAAAAAAAAAAAAAAAAAAUAUAUACAUAUAUUAUUUUUUUCAAUAAUUUUUUUAUGUACCUAUAUUAUUUCAAUUAUUAAUAAAAGUAUAUAUAAUAUAGUUUACAUAUUUGAGUUUGUAAUAAAAAAAAUGUUUCCUACUAGAAAAAUAUAUAUAUUAAACUUAAUUAAAGAACGUUCAUAUAUAUAUUCUAAAUUGCAUUUUAUAGUAAAUAAUUUAAUUGAAUAUAAAAAUUCUUUAAAGUAUUAUAAAAAUAAACAAAUUUUAUGUAUUCGAUUAUUUAGUUUAUUUUAUGAUCAAUGUUUAGGUAUUAUCCUAUAUUUUAUAUUUUCUUAUAAUAUAAUCAAUUUGGUUCAUAUACACGACACAAUUAAAAAGUUUUAUGACACCAAUACGUUAACAUCUGUUUUAGGUGCACUGUUACAAAACACAUGGGGAUUAAAACUAAAUAAUAACUUUACGUCUUUCAUUGGUAGUGUCAUAAUUUCUAUAUUAGAUAUUUGGUAAGUGCAUGGAGACGACACAAUGGGAUAUAUGUUAUGUCCAUAUACGCAAAAAAAAAAAUUACUAAAUAUAUGGAUAAAUCAUUUUAGUAUAAUUAAUGUAUUCUUUUUUUUUUUUUUUUUUUUUUUGUAUAGGGAACACUUAGAACAACUUUUUUCUUUUAGAGAUUAUUACAUAUUUGAUCUUAUAAAGCUUUCUUCCGUUUUAGGUUUAUCCUUUUUUCUUUCUUUUUUUAUUGACUAUAUGAACCUUGUAACAGGACAUGUACGUAAAGAUUUAAAAAAAAAAAAUAAAAUAAAACAAGC